rnacentral:rRNA from 1 species
AUUGAACGCUGGCGGCAUGCUUUACACAUGCAAGUCGAACGGGCUUAGGGGCUUGCUCCUAAGUUAGUGGCGAACGGGUGAGUAAUGCAUCGGAACGUACCGUGUAGUGGGGGAUAACCCGGCGAAAGUCGGAUUAAUACCGCAUACGAUCUAAGGAUGAAAGCAGGGGAUCGCAAGACCUUGCGCUAUACGAGCGGCCGAUUUCGGAUUAGCUAGUUGGUAGAGUAAAGGCCUACCAAGGCAACGAUCCGUAGCGGGUCUGAGAGGAUGAUCCGCCACACUGGGACUGAGACACGGCCCAGACUCCUACGGGAGGCAGCAGUGGGGAAUUUUGGACAAUGGACGAAAGUCUGAUCCAGCCAUGCCGCGUGAGUGAAGAAGGCCUUCGGGUUGUAAAGCUCUUUUGUCCGGGAGCAAAUCCUGUUCACUAAUACUGAGCGGGGCUGAGAGUACCGGAAGAAUAAGCACCGGCUAACUACGUGCCAGCCGCCGCCGUAACAC